GUGGGGAAUUUUGGACAAUGGGCGCAAGCCUGAUCCAGCAAUGCCGCGUGCAGGAAGAAGGCCUUCGGGUUGUAAACUGCUUUUGUACGGAACGAAACGGUCCUGGUUAAUACCUGGGGCUAAUGACGGUACCGUAAGAAUAAGCACCGGCUAACUACGUGCCAGCAGCCGCGGUAAUACGUAGGGUGCAAGCAUUAAUCGGAAUUACUGGGCGUAAAGCGUGCGCAGGCGGUUUUGUAAGACAGGCGUGAAAUCCCCGGGCUCAACCUGGGAAUUGCGCUUGUGACUGCAAGGCUGGAGUGCGGCAGAGGGGGAUGGAAUUCCGCGUGUAGCAGUGAAAUGCGUAGAUAUGCGGAGGAACACCGAUGGCGAAGGCAAUCCCCUGGGCCUGCACUGACGCUCAUGCACGAAAGCGUGGGGAGCAAACAGGAUUAGAUACCCGGGUAGUCC
rnacentral:rRNA from 1 species